AUGUCGCCCUCCUCCACCUCUGAAGGGGGCUCCCUGCCCCCUCGCCCUGGCACGAAGGGCGCCGAUCCGUCGAAAGGUGGAGACGCCCACCCGAGGGCUAAAGAGCGACCGACGCCGUUGCCAACCGGAAUACCACACCAGGACACCACCGCCAAACUACUUGGAGCUCAUCCAAGGCAAGCAUCGGCAAUAACUAUUAUCUGCACACGAGGAGAAGCAAGCUACACGGCAAGGCUGCUGAAGACCGAGCAACCCCCAACCGGAACAAGCACACUUCCCCCAAAGCUCACCAAAGACGGCACCCCCUUGAGGGUGACGGCGCCCACGGCGUCGCUGCUGCCCAAUCCCGAGGGAUUUGGGUUUUCACCUGGUCCACGAGCAACACGGGAGGAAGAGGAGGGGGAAAGGGGCAUUUUUACCAGCGCCUACAGGUAG
rnacentral:rRNA from 1 species